AUAAUUGAGAGGUGGCAGGAAGCUUGUGGGAAGCAAACCAAGAGCAGCGGGAGACCCUGGAGUAGCCUGUGAGGAUUAAAUCUCUGAUAAAGCUUAGGGGGUGUUGGUGUGACAGGGUGUAGAAGGGAGAGCUCAAGCUGUGGCCUGAAGUUUCCUGCUCUUGUCUAGAGCCAGUAGAGGGAGCACAGAGAAUAUGGAUGCAGAAAAUAUGGACACAGAAACCCUGUGCCUUCAAAGAAGCCAGACUCCACAGAGGCCAAGAGGAGCCCUCAGCUUUGGUGGGUUACUGGAUAGCAGCCAGGCUGGAAGCAGGGAUGCCAAACAUAUGUCAGGUGAGAAAGUGUGUGGCUGACAAGGGGAGUUGUAAUACCCCAUGUCCCUUCCUAGCACUUGCAGAAAGUGAGGGUGGUCUUUACUGUGAUUGAGAAUGCCAGUCAGUCCCAAACUAUACCACACUGAGACUUUGAGACAGAAACUCCUGACUUCCUUCCUCAGAGCCUCAAGAGAUGGAAAACUCUGCACAACUCUUAUCUGGCCAUCUUGUUUUAAAAAUGUAUUAAGUGAAUUUAUGCAAAACCUGCUAACACAUCUUCACCACUCCCACAAUAACCACAACCCUCAACAGAACCAUCACCAUUCCUGGAUCCUACACCUGGUUAUAUAUCUCACCCAGUGCACCAAAUGCCCUGAUGAAAAAUAUGUAGGAGAAACCAAACAGCUGCGCACCAGAAAGAACGUGUACCAAAAAUCCAUCAAAGACAAGAAUA